GACGAACGCUGGCGGCGUGCUUAACACAUGCAAGUCGAGCGGUAAGGCCCUUUCGGGGGUACACGAGCGGCGAACGGGUGAGUAACACGUGGGUGACCUGCCCUUAGCUCUGGGAUAAGCCUGGGAAACUGGGUCUAAUACCGGAUAUGACUCCAUGACGCAUGUUGUGGGGUGGAAAGCCUUGUGCGGCUAGGGAUGGGCCUGCGGCCUAUCAGCUUGUUGGUGGGGUGANGGCCUACCAAGGCGACGACGGGUAGCCGGCCUGAGAGGGCGACCGGCCACACUGGGACUGAGACACGGCCCAGACUCCUACGGGAGGCAGCAGUGGGGAAUCUUGCGCAAUGGGCGAAAGCCUGACGCAGCGACGCCGCGUGGGGAUGACGGCCUGGUGU
rnacentral:rRNA from 1 species